GUUACAACACCAGUUCCCGUACGAUCACCGAAGUUAAGCAACAUCAAGCCUGGCCAGCACCUAAAUGGGUGACCACUUGAGAAUACGAAGUACUGUAAG